GACUGUCGACAACGGAUAUCUCGGUUCUCGCAUCGAUGAAGAACGUAGCGAAAUGCGAUACUUGGUGUGAAUUGCAGAAUCUCGUGAACCAUCGAGUUUUUGAACGUAAAUUACGUCCGAAGCCAUUAGGUCGAGGGCACGUCUGUGCCUGGGAGUCA
rfam:Capsicum annuum cultivar Zunla-1 chromosome 3, whole genome shotgun sequence